rnacentral:tRNA from 1 species
GGCCUCGUAGCUCAUCUGGUAGAGCGUGCGCUGUACAAAAGCGUAAGCGGUGUCUAUGCAUGGAUUCGAAUCCCACCGAGACUA